GUUAACGCUGGCGGCAGGCCUAACACAUGCAAGUCGAGCGAGAGGCGGACGGGUGAGUAAUGUCUGGGAAACUGCCCGAGGGCGGGGGAUAACUACUGGAAACGGUAGCUAAUACCGCAUACCAUCGGAUGUGCACAGAUGGGAUUAUCUAUUGGGGGGGGUAACGGCUCACCUGGGCGCCGAUCCCUAGCUGGUCUGAGAGGAUGACCAGCCACACUGGAACUGAGACACGGUCCAGACUCCUACGGGAGGCAGCAGUGGUGAAUAUUGCAGAAUGGGCGCAAGCCUGAUGCAGCCAUGCCGCGUGUAUGAAGAAGGCCUUCGGGUUGUAAAGUACUUUCAGCGAGGAGGCGUUACUCUCAGAAGAAGCACCGGCUAACUCCGUGCCAGCAGCCGCGGUAAUUC
rnacentral:rRNA from 1 species